GACGAACGCUGGCGGCGUGCUUAACACAUGCAAGUCGAACGAUGAAGCCGGAGCUUGCUCCGGUGGAUUAGUGGCGAACGGGUGAGUAACACGUGAGCAAUCUGCCCUUGACUCUGGGAUAACUGCGGGAAACUGUAGCUAAUACCGGAUACGACACCUUGGGGCAUCCCAGGGUGUGGAAAGAAUUUCGGUCAAGGAUGAGCUCGCGGCCUAUCAGCUAGUUGGUGAGGUAAUGGCUCACCAAGGCGACGACGGGUAGCCGGCCUGAGAGGGGGACCGGCGACACUGGAACUGAGACACGGUCCAGACUCCUACGGGAGGCAGCAGUGGGGAAUAUUGCACAAUGGGCGAAAGCCUGAUGCAGCAACGCCGCGUGAGGGAUGAAGGCCUUCGGGUUGUAAACCUCUUUUAGCAGGGAAGAAGCGAAAGUGACGGUACCUGCAGAAAAAGCACCGGCUAACUACGUGCCAGCCGCCGCGGUAA
rnacentral:rRNA from 1 species